rnacentral:rRNA from 1 species
AACGAACGCUGGCGGCAGGCCUAACACAUGCAAGUCGAGCGAGGACUUCGGUUCUAGCGGCGGACGGGUGAGUAACGCGUGGGAAUGUGCCCUUCUCUACGGAAUAGCCCUGGGAAACUGGGAGUAAUACCGUAUACGCCCUUUUGGGGAAAGAUUUAUCGGAGAAGGAUCAGCCCGCGUUGGAUUAGGUAGUUGGUGGGGUAAUGGCCUACCAAGCCGACGAUCCAUAGCUGGUUUGAGAGGAUGAUCAGCCACACUGGGACUGAGACACGGCCCAGACUCCUACGGGAGGCAGCAGUGGGGAAUCUUAGAAAAUGGGGGCAACCCUGAUCGAGCCAUGCCGCGUGAGUGAUGAAGGCCUUAGGGUUGUAAAGCUCUUUCAGCUGGGAAGAUAAUGACGGUACCAGCAGAAGAAGCCCCGGCUAACUCCGUG